UACGAAGGGGGCUAGCGUUGCUCGGAAUCACUGGGCGUAAAGCGCACGUAGGCGGCUUUUUAAGUCAGGGGUGAAAUCCUGGAGCUCAACUCCAGAACUGCCUUUGAUACUGAGAAGCUUGAGUCCGGGAGAGGUGAGUGGAACUGCGAGUGUAGAGGUGAAAUUCGUAGAUAUUCGCAAGAACACCAGUGGCGAAGGCGGCUCACUGGCCCGGUACUGACGCUGAGGCACGAAAGCGUGGGGAGCAACAGG
rnacentral:rRNA from 1 species